rnacentral:rRNA from 1 species
UGUAGGCUGAAACUCGCCUACAUGAAGCUGGAGUUACUAGUAAUCGCAGAUCAGAAUGCUGCGGUGAAUGCGUUCCCGGGUCUUGUACACACCGCCCGUCACACCAUGGGAGUUGGAGACGCCCGAAGCCGAUUAUCUAACCUUUUGGAAGAAGUCGUCGAAGGUGGAAUCAAUAACUGGGGUGAAGUCGUAACAAGGUAGCCGUAUCGGAAG